rnacentral:rRNA from 1 species
UACGUAGGCGGAAAAUUAAGUCAGUAGUGAAAUCCUGCAGCUUAACUGUAGAACUGUUAUUGAUACUGGUUUUCUUGAAUAUAGUUGAGGUAGGCGGAAUGUGUAAUGUAGCGGUGAAAUGCUUAGAUAUUACACAGAACACCGAUUGCGAAGGCAGCUUACUAAGCUAUGAUUGACGCUGAGCUACGAAAGCGUGGGGAGCGAACAGGAUUAGAUACCCUGGUAGUCC